AAGUCGAACGGUAACAGGACUUCGGUCGCUGACGAGUGGCGCACGGGUGAGUAACGCGUGGAUAUCUACCUAUGGGUGGGGGACAACUACGGGAAACCGUAGCUAAUACCGCAUACGACCUACGGGUGAAAGCGGGGGACCUUCGGGCCUCGCGCCGAUAGAUGAGUCCGCGUCUGAUUAGCUAGUUGGUAGGGUAAAGGCCUACCAAGGCGAUGAUCAGUAACUGGUUUGAGAGGAUGAUCAGUCACACUGGAACUGAGACACGGUCCAGACUCCUACGGGAGGCAGCAGUGGGGAAUUUUGCACAAUGGGCGCAAGCCUGAUGCAGCGACGCCGCGUGCGGGAAGAAGGCCUUAGGGUUGUAAACCGCUUUCAAUUGGGAAGAAGAGAUGAAGGUUAAUAACUUUCUGAUUUGACGGUACCUUUAGAAGAAGCACCGGCUAAUUUCGUGCCAGCAGCCGCGGUAAUACGAAAGGUGCAAGCGUUGUUCGGAUUUACUGGGCGUAAAGAGAUCGUAGGUGGUUUGUUAAGUUGGAUGUGAAAUCCCGGGGCUCAACCUCGGAACUGCAUCCAAAACUGGCAGACUAGAGUUCGGGAGGGGUAAGCGGAAUUCCGUGUGUAGCAGUGAAAUGCGUAGAUAUACGGAGGAACACCAGAGGCGAAGGCGGCUUACUGGACCGAUACUGACACUGAGGAUCGAAAGCGUGGGUAGCAAACAGGAUUAGAUACCCUGGUAGUCCACGCCCUAAACGAUGUCAACUAGUCGUUGCGGGUAUUGACCCCUGCAGUGACGCAGCUAACGCAUUAAGUUGACCGCCUGGGGAGUACGGUCGCAAGAUU
rnacentral:rRNA from 1 species